GAAGCUCAAUGGUAGAGCAUCUCCUUUGCAUGCAGAAGUUAACAAGUUCAAUCCUUGGCAUCUGCA